rnacentral:rRNA from 1 species
AAGGAAGAUAAUGACGGUACUUGAGGAGGAAGCCCCGGCUAACUACGUGCCAGCAGCCGCGGUAAUACGUAGGGGGCUAGCGUUAUCCGGAGUUACUGGGCGGAAAGGGGGCGUAGGGGGUCUUGAAAGUCAGGAGGGAAAGGCUACGGCUCAAACGGAGUAAGCUCUUGAAACUGGGAGGCUUGAGGGCAGGAGAGGAGAGGGGAAUUCCUGGGGUAGCGGGGAAAUGCGGAGAUAUUAGGAGGAACACCAGUUGCGAAGGCGGCUCUCUGGACUGGAACUGACGCUGAGGCACGAAAGCGGGGGGAGCAAACAGGAUUAGAUACCCUGGUAGUCCACGCUGUAAACGAUGAGUACUAGGUGUCGGGGGUUACCCCC